CUAACGGCUCUUUUAAGAGCCACUCACCCAAUGUUAGUGCUCACA
rfam:Gasterosteus aculeatus cont1.010004, whole genome shotgun sequence.